GUCAGUUGCCAUGGACACAGAUAUGAUGUGUCUAGAUUUAUGACUUCCCUGCAGGAUCAACUAAGAGCAGAUGGGCUAUGAGGGAGAGAGAUUUUAUUGCAACAAAACUACCCUAACAAUUAGCAAAUCCGGCAAGUAACAAACAGAAAACUACAUGGACUGGCUGGCCCUCCCCGCUCUGUGUUCUCUAAGGUUUUGCUCACCUUGCGACACGCCGCCUUCCAGAGGUCAAUGCUUUGUGAAACAGGCCCUUUUCAAUUUUAAAUGAGACGUGACCCUCACUGGAAAUUAACCUCUGACGACAUCACAGGAACAUGCUCCUCCUGUAUAUCCUGACAUUCCAUUGGUUUGAAAAAUAUUCCAUCAAAGACUUCUACUAAGAUGCAGCCACAGUCUAACUGGACGGAUGACUCAGUUUGGGAGCCAGCAGAGGAAGCUUUCACUAACCGCAUCCCUCCUAAAGAAACACUUAAAAAAAGGACAAAAAGUCUUUGAUCACCCGUCCUACUAACACCUGGAAACUGCAAACUGGCUCAAAUUCAAGGAGCUGGCUAUGGCAAUGUGUGAAUGACUCGAAGGGCUCUAGGACUGGCCGAACAUCUCCACCUGGGACCACUUAGAAGCGGUGGAGGAAAGGCCUAAAUACUUAACUUUGGCUAACUCCCCCCCCCCACACACACACUGCUACUUGUCCCCCUUGCUGAGCGUUCCCCAACACGGGAGCGGAACAAUGCCAUCAAUAAAUAAAAGGUUGUUG